UUGAAGCUCGUACACGUUUGCCAUGUGUACUAAGAGCCGGUCACUGAUAUAUCAAGUGAAAGGAAGUGAUAAAAACCAUAGUCUAUGCAGAUCUGUUUUUGUCUCUUAUGCAUUCAUGCAAAUUUGAUUAAUUUACAGUUUAUAGCUAUUCCAACAGUUCCUUCCAUGUUAACUGAAAGGAAGUGACAAACCAUAGUCUAUGCAAAUUUUCUUUUCUUCACUUGUGUAUUCGUCCGAAUUUGGUUUGACUUCUAAAGUUUAUAGCUAAUCUACACCAUUAGACGUUGAGUGCUUUAUGCUAGUUCCCUAUGAGUUAUGCUCAAUCGUUGUUAUUAGGUUUCUUGAUUAAAAUCAAGGAGUUUUAUUUCCUUAUCAAUGUAAGUACAUGUGUAGCUAUAAUCUUGGGCCUUGGAUUAAAUGUUGUGUUUUGUCUUUUGAACAGGUUUCAUUUGAUUUGACAGAGUAUUUGGAACAGCAUCCAGGAGCAUCUAACUGGGAGAUUGGGAUCUCUAGUUUUAGAAAAAAUGCCUUGUUUCAAGAUUACCAUGGACUCAAAACUUUCAGACAGGAGCUGACUCUCAUAUGAAUAGCUCAGUGCAUUCCCAACCAACAUCAAGGAGCUCAAUGCUCAUAAGCAAUCCAACGAGGCAAGAAGCUGGCUGGGAGCAUCAUCAAGGAAAAACUGGCAGCAUGUGUCAACCGAGUGCUAGGUAUGUCCCUAAAAGAUGUCGUUAGAUGCCUUUAAAUUACCUUCAGCUUUAUAUAUUCAUGGGUCUAAUCACUACAAGAAAUGCUGGAAUUACCGGCAUUUUUUAAAGUCUCAAAAU